UAUAUAGUUAAUGUGCCCCAAAGACCGGGAUAGCCACUGGAAACGGUGAUUAAUACCGGAUACACCUCUAUAGCAUAAGUUAUGGAGGGAAAUGUUUUUUCGCUUUGGGAUCAGACUAUAUCCUAUCAGUUAGUUGGUGAGGUAACGGCUCACCAAGGCGAUGACGGGUAGCGGUUCUGAGAGGAUGAUCCGCCACACUGGUACUGAGACACGGACCAGACUCCUACGGGAGGCAGCAGUGAGGAAUAUUGCACAAUGGGGGGAACCCUGAUGCAGCAACGCCGCGUGGAGGAUGACGCAUUUCGGUGUGUAAACUCCUUUUAUAUGUCAAGAAAAUGACGGUAGCAUAUGAGUAAGCACCGGCUAACUCCGUG
rnacentral:rRNA from 1 species